GCCGCCGUAGCUAAGCCCGGUAUAGCGGCGGGCUGCAGACCCGUAGGUCCCGGGUUCAAAUCCCGGCGGCGGCU
rnacentral:tRNA from 1 species